rnacentral:rRNA from 1 species
AUUGAACGCUGGCGGCAGGCUUAACACAUGCAAGUCGAGCGGAGCGAGGGUGCUUGCACCUUAGCUUAGCGGCGGACGGGUGAGUAAUGCUUAGGAAUCUGCCUAUUAGUGGGGGACAACAUUCCGAAAGGAAUGCUAAUACCGCAUACGCCCUACGGGUGAAAGCGGGGGAUCUUCGGACCUUGCGCUAAUAGAUGAGCCUAAGUCGGAUUAGCUAGUUGGUGGGGUAAAGGCCUACCAAGGCGACGAUCUGUAGCGGGUCUGAGAGGAUGAUCCGCCACACUGGGACUGAGAAACGGCCCAGACUCCUACGGGAGGCAGCAGUGGGGAAUAUUGGACAAUGGGCGGAAGCCUGAUCCAGCCAUGCCGCGUGUGUGAAGAGGCCCUUUUGGUUGUAAAGCACUUUAAGCGAGGAGGAGGCUACUUAGAUUAAUACUCUGGGAUAGUGGACGUUACUCGCAGAAUAAGCACCGGCUAACUCUGUGCCAGCAGCCGCCGUAA